UGAUCGUAUUAAAGCGUAAGUUGUAGAAGUGAUUCCAGCAAAUUCUUGAACAGUGUUCAUCAGUAACAGGUAGAUCCCAACCAAUUUUCUUACACCAUCAAUUCCUGUCAGCUAAAAUACAACUCCAGGCUCGCAUUAAGGAAUAUUUACCAGCUAUUGAAGCCAGGGGGAGACUUCUUCUUCACCUGCGGCGUAGGGUGUACCUAACUUGCUUGAAGCUGCCAGAUUCCUGUCCGGAACCGAGAAGUGGAAGUCGAUUGAGUCGAACAUUGAUAAGCAUAUGUAUCCAUACCAAUCCUCGUCAGAUCCUAAAAAUUAUUUUGAACGAAUACUAUUAAAAAUUGGAUUUAAAAUUUUACAGUUGAGCGUCGAACCAAAGGAUAUCGCGUUACCGAUCGAGUGCGUUCCCGCAUAUAUGUUUGCGCACUGGCCAAUUGAGUUGCCUAAAGACUUUCCGUCAGCCUGCAUAGAUGUUGUAAGGGAGUGGAAUGAUGUGCACACUAAAGAAGAUAAUAAAGAGUUCCUUUUAAUGAAAUAUCAAAUGGUUUUUGGACAUGUUCGAAAACUUGAGUCAAUGUAUAGUAAUAUUUUAUAGGAACACGCUGUAUUUUACAUAUAUGGAAAACCAAGGAAAAUUUGAGAUUA